GGGUAGUUUUAUAAUUGUAAUCUCAAAUUUCAUUUAAAAACAUAGAUUUAAAAUGAAAAGAAAAAUAACACUAAUCCCAAACCUUCCUUUCCAGAAUACCUUCAGCUCCAUAAGAUACAGAUGGAGGUUCAAAGGUUUGGGAGUUGAAAACACUACAGUAAGAGAAUUUGAAAAACCAUGGGGACACUGUCGGUGGUUUUCUCAUCAUAAUUACACUUGAUGUCAAUAGACUGUGGAUUCUUUAGAAGUUCUGAGAGCCAUGCCAGGCACAACAUUUAAUACUGAUGCGUUCAGAGACAGGGAGGAGUGAACUGAGUCUUGGGGAUCUCGCGUGAUCUCACAGCCUGCAUAGAGCUGAGGGAGAAGCCCGGCAGUUAGUGAAUGAGCAGGACAAGAGGAAAAACCUCUCCAGGCCAGGCCUGUGCCAAAGGACAUCACAGUGUUCAGCCCAUGCUGGAGUGUUCCCUGCAGUUGUCUUAACCAAGUGGGAACUCUGUGCCCAUCGACAAUGAGGCCGAUGUCUUUUCAGGAAGAAAACGUUCUCAGCCAUGCCAAAAGACUUCUGUUCAACCCCACAGGAGAGAGAAACUGGACUGGAUAAGCAGUCAAUUAACCUAAAUUAUCAGCUCCAUCUGAUUGAUUCAGCUCGGUUCAGAUGCCCAUGCCUGAACCAAUCAAUUAGUCUUAAGUAGCUGCAGCUGCAGCUUUGGCUGGAGUUCUGGACGGAGAGGUCAUGGAAAGAGUCUUGGCAAAAUGAAUAUAUUCGAGAUGAAGAGAACAAUGAGAUGUACGCCGGAGAAAAAUCAUCGCUAUUUGAUUUGCUCCUAACCUAAAUACUGAUGGAAGCCUUGGCAUGCUUCUCUUCACAUUCUGGGGUUUCGUAAGAAGGUAACUUUUCCAUGAAGCUAUCCCACUGCACCCAUCUUCUACCUACAAAUGUCUACUUACAAAUGUCAUGUUUUCAUCCCCUUCUUCUGGGCAGGUACAAACUUAGUAGUUUACCUGCCCUGCUGUUUUCUCUCACCUGCUAAUAAUGCUGUCCUUGAGCUUCAACUGAGUCCACUUGUAAAUUCUUCUAUUGAUGAGAACAAGAAACUAGUAAAGAAGUCGCAACUUCUCUAGGAUAACAUUAUCUCAACUGUGGAGUUCCCAAAGGUUUUCCACAAUAUCACCAUUGGAAUGAUUCACUCAA
rnacentral:sRNA from 1 species